rnacentral:rRNA from 1 species
CAGCACUCAGUCACUAGGCUGGCUGGUUGGCCAGCACUCAGUCACCUGUCACCAGGCCAGCACGUAGUCACCAGGCAAGCAGUCUAGCUGGCUAGCCUUCACCCAGUCAACCAAUCACCAGUCACCAGUGUUGCAACGCGAUUCACGAGUCACCAGUCACUAGUCUCGAGUCGCGAUUCAUGAGUCCCUAGUCACCUGUCACAAGUUGCGAUUUACCAGCCACUAGUCACCAGUCAGCCGUCCCGAGUCGCGAUUCACCAGCCUCCAGUCACCAGUCACGAGUCGCGAUUCCCAGCCACCAAUCCCCAGUCACCAGUCCCGAGUCACGAUCCACGAGUCAUUAGUCACCAGUCACUUAGUAAUGCAAUCCAAAUUUUGUUUUCAAUGAAAUUUUUGAUGGCCAUGUUGUGUGUUUUAUGAUGCAAGUCCCAUAAUAAAUUUUGCUCAAAAUUAAACUUUUAAUUUUUUAAAUAUUUUUUAAUAAUAUUUUAUAUUUUCUACACUUUAAAAAAAAUAUAAUUAAAUAAUCCCAUUUCAGAAAAUUCCAAUUUUUUGUGGGAAGUGUUAUUUAAGUAUUGACAAUGUCCCUAUAAAAGGGUUCGAGUGAGAGCGUACCUGUCGGGACCUGAAAGAUGGUGAACUAUGCUUGAUCCCCUGACAUGUGUGCGAGUCAACUGGCGAGUAAACCCGUAAGGCGCAAGGAAGCCGAUUGGUGGGAUCCUCUUGUGGGUUGCACCACCGACCGACCCAGAUCUUCUGUGAAGGGUUCGAGUGAGAACAUACAUGUCGGGACCCGAAAGAUAGUGAACUAUACAUGAGCGGGGCGAAGCCAGAGGAAACUCUAACGGAGGGUUGCAGCGAUACUGACGUGCAAAUCAUUCAUCUGACUUUGGUAUAUGGGCGAAAGACUAAUCGAACCGUCUAGUAGCUGGUUCCCUCCGAAGUUUCCCUCAAGAUAGCUGGAGCCUGAGGGUGAGUUCGAUCGGGUAAAGCCAAUGAUUAGAGGCAUCUGGGGCGCAAUGCCCUCGACCUAUUCUCAAACUUUAAAUAGGUAGGACGGUGUGGUUGCUUUGUUGAGCCAUGCCAUAGAAUCGAGAGCUCCAAGUGGGCAAUUUUUUGUAAGCAGAACUGGCGAUGCUGGAUGAACCGGAAGCUGGGUUACGGUGCCCAACUGCGCGCUAACCUAGACCCCACAAAGGGAGUUGGUUGAUUAAGACAGCAGGACGGUGGUCAUGGAAGUCGAAAUCCGCUAAGGAGUGUGUAACAACCCACCUGCCGAAUCAACUAGCCCCGAAAAUGGUUAGCGCUAUAGCGCGCGACCUAUACCCGGUCGUUGGGACAAGGGCCAGGCCCCGAUGAGUAGGAGGGUGCGGCGGUCGCUGCAAAAUGUGGGGCGCGAGCUUGGGCGGAGCGGUCGUCGGUUCAGAUCUUGGUGGUAGUAGCAAAUAUUCAAAUGAGAACUUUGAAGGGCGAAGAGGGGAAAGGUUCCAUGUGAACGACACUUGCACAUGGGUUAGUCGAUCCUAAGGGACGGGGGAAGCCCAUUUGUUAGUGCUCUAAGCGUGUACACCGAAACGAAAUCAGGUUAAAAUUCCUGAACUGAGACGUGGUGGCUGACGGCAACAAUAGGAAGUCUAGAGACGUUGGCGGGGGCCCCAGAAAGAGUUAUCUUUUAUGUUUAACAGCCUGCCCACCCUAGAAACGGCUCAGCCGAAGUAUGGUCCAGCGGCUGAAAGAGGACCGCACGUCGCGUGGUGUUCGGUGCGCCCCUGGCGGCCCUUGAAAAUCCAGAGGACAGAGUUCCUUCCAUUCCCGGUCGUACUCAUAACCGCAUCAGGUCUCCAAAGUGAACAUCCUCUGGUCGAUGGAACAAUGUAGGCAAGGGAAGUCGGCAAAAUGGAUCCGUAACCUCGUGAAAAGGAUUAGCUCUAAGGGCUGAGCACGAGGUUCCCAGUUCUGAACCUAUCGGCUGUUGGUGGACUGCUUGAGCUGCUCCCACGGCGAGAGCGGGUCACCGCAUGCCGAUCAUGGGACAGAUUGGGAAGGGGCCCUUCGGAGCCUCUUCCCCGGGCAUCGAACAAUCAACUCAGAACUGGUACGGACAAGGGGUAUCUGACUGUUUAAUUAAAAUAAAGCAUUGUGAUGGUCCCUACGGAUGUUGACGCAAUGUGAUUUCUGCCCGAUGCUCUGAAUGUCAAAGUGAAGAAAUUCAACCAAGCGCGGGUAAACGAUGGGAGUAACUAUGACUCUCUUAAGGUAGCCAAAUGCCUCGUCAUCUAAUUAGUGACGCGCAUGAAUGGACUAAUGAGAUUCCCAAUGUCCCUGUCUACUAUCUAGCGAAACCACAACCAAGGGAAUGGGCUUAGCGGAAUCAGCCGGGAAAGAAGACCAUGUUGAGCUUGACUCUAGUCCGACUUUGUGAAAUGACUUGAGAGGUGUAGGAUAAGUGGGAGCUGGAAAUAGCGAAAGUGAAAUACCACUACUUUUAACGUUAUUUUACUUAUUCCGUGAAUCGGAGCGGGCGCUGCCCUUCUUUUUGGAUCCAAGGCUGACUUCGGUUGGCCAAUCCGGGCGGAAGACAUUGUUAGGUGGGGAGUUUGGUUGGGG